GAUGAACAUAUUCGCAGACUGAAUUUUGAGUGGAUAAGUUCUGUUGACUCAAACAUUUCAAAACUCCUGGAGUUCCCAGUUCUUUGUCGCAGUACUGAGGUCAAAAAUAAGCUGGAUGUUAACCUCAAGGGGCCUUUACUCAAGCUGUUCAGGGAGCUUGAUUACUGGCUCAGACUCUCGUAUGAUGUUCAUCAUUAUUUUACCAAACUGUAUUACCGGCGUGAUGAUCUGCUUGAAUUGCGAGAGUAUGUCCUUCUGGUGGUUCGAGACUACAACAGAAUAAUAUCUGCACUGGGUGCGCAAGAAAUGGGAUUGUUCCGGGAAAAACUAAAGUUUUUGGACAGGAGAUUGUACCCUGGUCUGACCAAGUUAAGGUGGUCAUCAAGAGACGCAAUAGCCAUGUUCAUCACUGAGAGCAGAGUUCAUGCCAGCAAACUGCAAAUAAAGGUGGAUGAAUUCAUGGAUGGCAACAUACAAAUCAUGUCUUUGUGUGUCCAAAUCAGUGAACAGCUGCUUAUUAAGAUUGAGAAAAAUAAGCUGUAUGAACAUCUAUCAUUUGAAAAAGAACAGAAACAACAUCGCAGCAGAGUGGCUUCAAAGAUUGAAAGCUUAAUACAAAGUAUUGUUCAUCGUCUGAGCAAGACGUAUGGAAUGUUUAGUGAGGAAAAUGAUUUAGUGCAGAAUCACUGGUAUCGUUACACUGUACAGCAAGACAACAUACUGGAAGAAGCACUGCGUCUAAAUGUAAAAAGAUCUCUUCUGGAGCUUGCCAAAGCUAUCAUUGGAGAUAGAAAAUCUAUACCUGAACCAAUCUUCAAAGUCAAUCUGGUACUUGAGAGGAACAAGAUUGAGUUUUCACCCUAUUUACAACAUCUGAAAAUAAUUGUCCACAACCUUUGGGUUGAUUGUGUUGAUGUUAUUGCAAGUUUCAAGCGUCUGCCAGAGAUACUCAACAGAAAGACUGUAGAUAAGGAGCCUCUUUUCAAAUGCAUUAGCAAAUGCAAAGAGGCGAAAAGGAUUCAGAAUGCUAUCCUUGCUGGUAUGGAAGCCAAUGCACAGACUCUUAUGAAUUAUAUAACAGUCUGGGACAAUUAUCGUGAAAUUUGGGAGAUCAACAAAGAUGCUUUCAUUCAUCGUUACCGAAAAUUGAAGCCUACUGUUGCAUCUUUUGAGGCAGAUAUUGCCAGGUACACAGAAGUUGCAAACAACAUAGAGAUGAACGAGACAGUACUGAAUAUCCAGUUUGUGCUUCUGGACUGCAAUCCAUUGAAGCUGUCCCUCCUCGCUCACUGUCAGGAAUGGCAGAAGAAAUUCACCAACCUCCUGCUGGAGAUGGCUACAGCAGAACUGAAAAGCGUCAACAACUACCUUGUCAGCAUGGGCAAAAGAAUUACGGCACCACCAGUCACGCUUGAUGAAUUUGCUGAAAGUACAAACCUGAUGGAACAGCUUAUGGCAGAAAAGAGCCUAACUUUUGCCAGGUUUGAUCCCCUCAGUGAACAGUUCAGCAUCCUACAUAAAUAUGAAGUCGCGGUUUCACCUUCUAUGACUGAAAUGCAUUUAAAUCUGCCUGAUCUGUGGCAGCAAUAUGAGCAACAGCUAGCAGAAGCAGAAGCAAUGAUGGCACGCAAGAGGGUAGAGUUCAAAAAGGGGUUAUUGCAAGAAUCAGAGGAUUUCAAGAAGGCAACACAAGAUGCUCUGCAUGAAUUUGCAGUUAAUGGCCCAUUCACUUCUGCCAUAUCUCCUCAAGAUGCCCUUGCCACAAUUGCACAAAUGCGGGCCCAUCUCAAUGCCCUCAGAGAGGAGGAGGCCAGACUACGCAAAGGCCUUGGCAUGUUUAGCCUUGAUCUUCCCCUGUCCAAAGAAAUCCAACAGCUGGAGAGGGACUUGGAUGCCAUCGAGGGUGUUUGGCUGUUAGCUGCACAGUGGGAUGACCUUUGGAACCAGUGGAAAGGAGGAGGUUUUAGUGACCUGAAAGUUGCAGAUAUGGAUGAUGCUUGUAACAUCGUUUUCAAGAAAAUCACCAAAUAUAGCAAAGAACUUAAGGAAAAAAACUGGGAGAUAGUUGAAAUGACUAGAGCUAGAGUGGACCAGUUUCGUCGUACAGUACCACUCAUCACUGACCUCAAGAACAAGGCCAUGCGUUUGCGUCACUGGGAUGAGAUCAUGGGUCUUCUUGACAUUGAAUUUGACCCUAAUUCAGAUGAAUUCACUUUAGAAUUCAUCGUACAACAUGGCUUUGAUAAAUUUGCCAACGUGAUCGGUGACAUUUCCAGCGCUGCUACCAAAGAGCUUCAGAUUGAAGUGGGAUUGGCAAACAUUUCAAGUGUAUGGCUGACCAAUGAAUAUGACAUGAUGCCAUAUAAGGAUAGAGGACAUUAUAAAUUCAGGACCACUGACAAUGUGUUUACAAGUCUGGAAGAAAACCAGGUUUCUCUGACAACAAUGAAGGCAUCCCGAUUUGUCAAACCCUUUGCUGCUGAAGUAGAUUACUGGGAAAAAAUAUUGUCUCAAAUCCUUGAGAUGACAGAGAUGCUGCUGCUUGUUCAAAGACUGUGGAUGUACAUGGAGAAUAUUUUUCUGGGUGAGGACAUUAGAAAACAACUACCACAAGAGACUGCUGAGUUUGAUGAUAUUAACCAACAAUGGAGAAAGAUCACCCGAAAGAUCAAAUCUGUUAAAAUUGUCAAGACGUUCUGUGAAGAGACAGGAAUGAUGGCUGAGCUGCAGCAAAUGAAUUUGAGCUUGGAGAGAAUACAAAAAGCCCUAGACAUGUUUUUGGAAACAAAACGCAUGAUUUUCCCUCGCUUUUAUUUCAUCUCCAAUGAUGAUCUUCUGGAAAUACUUGGAAAUACCAAAAAUCCAGAGAACAUUCAACCACACAUGAAGAAGCUGUUUGAUAACAUAAAAUCCCUGAAAAUUACUUGCGAAAGAGACAAAUGGAAAGUAGCGGGAAUGACAUCAUCAGAAGGAGAACAUGUUCCAUUUGAAAAGUUUAUGUAUAUAGAUGGUCCAGUUGAGAGCUGGCUGUGUGAGAUAGAGCAGUCGAUGAGAUGGACUCUGAAAGAAGUCCUAAAGAACACUCGGCAAGCUCUAAAAAAGAUGCUUUCUAAAAGGGAUAAAUGGAUCAAAGACUGGCCUGGCCAGCUGUGCAUCACUGCCAGUCAGAUCCAAUGGACAUGGGAUGUGACUCGAGCCCUUAUACAGGUCAAAGAAACAGGGGAAAGACAUCCACUAAAGAGGCAAAAGAAGAAGGAGGUGAAGAUGUUAUCCAAGUUCUCUGAAGCCAUUCGAGGCAACCUGACUAAGAAUCAGCGCAACAAAAUUGUUGCAUUGGUUACAAUAGAAGUUCAUGCCCGAGACAUAGUUGAGAAACUGUACAAGUCAGGCUGCAAAGAUGUGAAUGCCUUUGACUGGAUGAGUCAGCUGCGGCUUUACUGGGACAAGGAACUGGAUGACUGUGUAGUACGUCAGACCAACACCCACUUUCAGUAUGGCUAUGAAUAUCUGGGCAACUCAGGUCGUCUGGUUAUAACACCACUGACUGACCGCUGCUACAUGACGUUGACAACAGCACUGCACCUGCACAGAGGGGGCAGUCCCAAGGGGCCUGCUGGGACAGGCAAGACAGAAACCACCAAAGACUUGGGCAAAGCCCUGGGAAUGUAUGUCAUCGUGAUCAACUGCUCUGAUGGACUAGAUUACAAGUCCAUGGGCCGCAUGUUUGCAGGACUUGCACAGACAGGAGCAUGGGGCUGUUUUGAUGAAUUCAACCGCAUCAACAUUGAGGUCUUGUCUGUGGUGGCCCAACAAAUUCUGCAAAUCUUGAGUGCUUUAUCGGCAAACCAGGAUCAUUUUGUAUUUGAGGGCCAUGAUAUGAACAUUGUGUGGUCAUGUGGGUUGUUUAUCACCAUGAAUCCGGGCUAUGCUGGUCGUACUGAGCUACCAGACAACUUAAAAUCCAUGUUCCGUCCCAUUGCUAUGGUUGUUCCAGACUGCAAUCUAAUUUGUGAAAUUCUGCUUUUUGCUGAGGGAUUUGACAACACCAAGGUUCUGGCAAAGAAGGUAUUCACGCUGUAUUCCCUGGCUGUGCAGCAGUUGUCUAGACAAAAUCAUUAUGAUUUUGCUUUGCGAGCUAUUGUAUCAGUCCUUCGCUAUUCGGGCAAAAAGAAGAGAGCAAACCCAAACAUGUCCGACGAGGAGCUAAUUGUCUUGUCAAUGAAGGACAUGAAUGUGCCCAAACUAACCUCUGCUGACCUCCCUCUCUUCAAUGGCAUCAUGUUGGACCUCUUUCCUGGUGUGGAGGUCGCUGCUGUUGACUACACUGUGCUGGGAAAAGCACUUGAAAAAGAGCUUAGAUCUCAGAAACUACAAGUCACUCCUCAUGCUGUAACUAAAAUAAUCCAGCUGUAUGAGACCAAGAUGUCUCGUCAUUCAGUCAUGAGUGUUGGCUCAACACAAGCUGCCAAGUCUGUGUCAUGGCAUAUUCUGCAGGCAGCCAUGACUAACCUCUGUCUUGGUGGUGACAACAACUUUCAAGUUGUUAAGGAUUUUCCAUUAAACCCUAAGGCACUGUCACUGGCAGAACUUUAUGGAGAAUUUGACCUUUCCACAAAUGAAUGGUCAGAUGGAGUAUUAUCUUCUGUCAUGCGAAAUACAUGUUCUGACGAUAAACUUGAUGAAAAAUGGAUUGUCUUUGAUGGUCCUGUGGACACUCUGUGGAUCGAAAGUAUGAAUUCUGUCAUGGAUGACAACAAAAUUCUGACUCUCAUCAACGGGGAGCGAAUCAACAUGCCAGAUCAGGUUUCUCUUCUCUUUGAAAUUGAGGACUUGGCAGUGGCCUCGCCUGCAACUGUCUCGCGUGCAGGCAUGGUGUUUGCUGACUAUGUAGACAUGGGCUGGAAACCCUAUGUGGAGAGCUGGCUGGAGACCAAAGAUACGAUUCUGGCUGAAGAAGUGAGAAAUUCUUUCAAUAAAUGGCUUUUACGAACUCAAAAAUUUCAAAAGGAGAACUGCAAGGAGUUAAUACCCAUUGCUGAACUUAAUGGUGUGGCAUCUCUUUGUAAACUUUUUGAUGCCCUUGGGACUGUUGAAAAUGGGGUGGAUCCCUUGGAUUCAGAAUAUUUUCCCAAGAUGGUUGAUAUGUGCUUCCUUUUCUGCAUGAUUUGGUCUGUCUGCGCCUCGGUGGAUGAGGCUGGACGCAAGAGAAUAGACAAUUUUGUUCGCGAACUGGAGGGUUCGAUUCCCCACAAAGAUACAGUUUAUGAGUACUUCGUGGACAGCAAGGCUAAGACCUGGAGCCAUUGGGAGGAUAAAAUUAAAGGAGGAUGGAAGUACAACCCUGCGGUUCCCUUCUUUCAGCAGAUUGUACCUACAGUUGAUACAGUUCGUUACCAGUUUCUUAUGAAAACACUCGUAAACAUUCGAUGCCCUAUCAUGCUAGUGGGCCCAGUAGGAACAGGCAAAACAUCUGUUGCAGAAAGCACUUUGCGCAGCAUAGAUGCAUCAGUUUUCAAUGUUCUGACUGUGAAUAUGUCUGCACAGACCUCAUCAAAUCAAGUACAGGACCUGAUUGAGAGUCGAGUGGAGAAACGAACAAAGGGUGUAUUUGUACCUAUCGGGGGCAGGAAACUUAUCACUUUCAUGGAUGACUUUAACAUGCCAGCUAAAGAUGCUUUUGGCUCGCAGCCACCACUAGAGCUCAUUCGUCUUUGGAUUGAUUAUGGCUUCUGGUACGAUCGACAGAACCAGACUACAAAGAAAAUAUUGGACAUGCUGCUGAUUACUGGCAUGGGCCCCCCUGGUGGUGGGCGCAUGAUAAUUUCCCGCCGUCUGCAGAGUCGAUUCAAUCUCAUCAACAUGACUUUCCCACAGGAGUCCCAGAUUGGACGUAUAUUUGGCACCAUGCUGGAACAAAAGCUGCAAGACUUUGACGAAGACGUGAAGCCAAUUGGGACAGUAAUGACUACAGCCACUAUAGAACUAUACAACGUUAUUGUGCAGAAGUUUCUGCCCACUCCAGCAAAGAUUCACUACCUGUUCAACCUCCGUGAUAUUUCCAGGGUUUUCCAAGGCUUGUUGAGAGCAGACAAAAAAGUCCAUUAUUCCAAAGAUUCCCUCACUAGACUUUGGAUCCAUGAAUGCUUCCGAGUUUUCUCAGACCGCCUUAUCAACUCAAAGGACAGAGAGAUGUUUGUCACAGUGUUGAGUGAAAAGCUGGGCUCUAUGUUUGACCAAAGCUACCAUAGUAUUUGUCCCAACAGAAUACCACCUAUUUUUGGUGACUACAUGAAUGCAGACCUGAUUUAUGAAGAUAUAACAGAUGCCAAUAAGCUGAAAUCAUGCAUGACAAAUUUUCUUGAUGUGUACAACAACACCCCAGGGAUUGUUGCGAUGGAUUUGGUUCUUUUCCGCGAUGCAAUAGAACAUGUGUCAAAGGUAGUGCGAGUGAUACGUCAGCCCCGUGGCAACAUGCUGAUGAUAGGCAUUGGAGGAAGUGGGCGCCAGAGUCUGACCCGACUGGCAGCCUUCAUUUGUGAAUAUAAGACUUUCAGCAUUGAGGUGACAAAGAACUACAGAAAGCAAGAGUUUAGAGAUGAUAUAAAACAACUGUAUAACCAGUGUGGUGUGGAAAACAGAUCCACAGUCUUCAUCUUCAAUGAUAUACAGGUGAUACAAGAAAGUUUUCUUGAAGAUAUUAACAACAUACUCAGCAGUGGGGAGGUGCCCAGCCUUUACAAAGCUGAUGAAUUUGAAGAGGUGAAGAAUUCAUUGGCAGACGAGACUGCAAGAGCUGGAAUAGAAGACACCACACAAAAUGUGUUUGAUUUUCUUAUUAAUCGUGUCCGGACUAAUCUACAUGUUGUACUAUGCAUGAGUCCUGUUGGCGAAGCAUUCAGGAAUCGCAUCCGGAUGUAUCCAGCUCUUGUGAACUGCACAACAAUUGACUGGUUCCACAAAUGGCCUUUGGAUGCUUUGCUGGAGGUUGCUGACAAAUACCUCAGCAACAUGAGUCUUGGUAGUGCUGAGCAAGACAAGUUAAAGCCCUCCCUGGCUCAGGUUUUUGGAACUGUACACAGCUCUGUGUCUCUGUUCUCUGCCCGGAUGUUGAAUGAAAUGCAUCGGCAUAAUUAUGUAACACCUACAAAUUACUUGGAACUAGUCUCAGGGUACAAAAGGCUUUAUCGUGAGAAGGAGAAAGAACUGGGAGAUGAAGCCAACAAAUUGAAGAAUGGUCUUUUCAAGAUAGAUGACACUCGAGAAAAAGUUCAAAACAUGUCAGUGGAACUGGAGGAAGCAAAUAUUAAUGUCAUGGCCUUCCAAAAGGAAUGUGAUAAAUUCAUCAGUUUGCUUGUCGCGCAGAAGCAAGAGGCAGAUGAACAGCAGAAGGCUGUAAGUGUACAAAGUGCUCGGAUCCGAGAAGAGGGGAAAAAAUGUCAAGAGAUAGCAGACUCUGCUCAGCACGAUCUUGAUGCAGCACUACCAGCAUUACAGGCUGCUGUUGAAGCACUGGAAUCAUUGAACAAAAAGGACAUGACAGAGAUCAAGUCUUAUGGAAAACCACCAGCUAUGGUGGAAAAAGUCAUGCAGGCUGUGAUGAUACUGCGCAACUCAGAUCCCUCAUGGGCAGAAGCCAAAAAGCAGCUGGGUGAAGCCAACUUCUUGAAAGACCUGAUGAACUAUGACAAGGAUAAUAUAACUGACAAAGUGUUAAAGAAGAUUGGCAAAUAUUGUGACCAGGCAGACUUUGUGCCAGAGGUUAUUGGCCGAGUUUCCACUGCUGCCAAGUCACUGUGUAUGUGGGUCCGUGCCAUGGAGGAGUAUGGUCGCAUUUUCCGGAUAGUGGAGCCUAAACGACAGCGCCUCUACAAAGCCAUGGCUACUUUAAAAGAAAAGCAAGACAUGCUGGCAGAAGCAAUGGCUAAGCUAAAAGAAUUGGAGGACAAGUUGGAACUGCUGAAGAAAGAAUAUGAUGAGAAACUGAUGAUGAAAGCUGAUCUGCAGAGAAAAGCUGCUCACAUGGCGCUCAUGAUGGAGCGUGCUAGAAGACUAGUAGAGGGUUUAGCUGGUGAACGGUUGCGCUGGCUGGACACAGUAGAGGAAUUAGAAAACCAGAUGGGAUACCUACCAGGAGAUUGCAUGAUUGCUGCUGCUUUUCUGUCUUACUUGGGACCCUUCUUGUCUGAGUAUCGUGAAGAGAUUGUGAACAAAGUGUGGAUAUCAGAGAUUCGCACACUAGCUAUUCCUUGCACACCAUCUUUCUCCUUCACGGACUUCAUGGUAAGACCCACACAGGUGCGUGACUGGAACAUUCAAGGUUUACCCAGUGACAGCUUUUCAACAGAGAAUGGUAUCAUUGUAACUCAAGGAAAUCGCUGGCCAUUGAUGGUAGAUCCACAAUGUCAGGCCAUCAAGUGGAUCAAGAACAUGGAAGGAUCUAAGGGCCUGCGGAUAAUAGACUUGCAGCAGUCUGAUUACAUGCAUAUCUUGGAGCAUUCCAUUCAGAUGGGCAUUCCUGUGCUGCUUCAAAAUGUACAGGAAGUGCUGGACCCAUCAUUAGACCCUGUCUUGACAAAGUCACUGGUGAAAGUCGGCAACGCUUACAUCAUGAAGCUGGGAGACAAAGAGGUUGAGUACAACCCAGAGUUUCACUUCUAUAUCACCACUCGAAUGUCCAACCCACAUUACACACCUGAGAUCUCUACUAAGACUGCAAUUGUUAAUUUUGCUGUGAAAGAGCAAGGUCUUGAAGCACAGCUACUUGCAGUUGUGGUGGGUAAGGAACGACCAGAUCUUGAGGAAAUGAAGGACAGUUUGGUACGUGGCAUUGCAGCAGGCAGGAAGAAGCUAAAGGAUCUUGAAAAUGAAAUCCUUAGACUCCUGAAUGAAACCAAGGGAUCCCUCUUGGAAGAUGAAACUUUACUAAAUACUCUGGAGACAUCCAAAGUUACUUCACAUGAUGUUGGUGAGCAGCUGGCAACAGCAGAGACAACUGAAGUGAAAAUUGAUGCAGCACGUGAGGGCUACAGGGACAGUUCCAAGCGUUCUGCCAUCCUGUUCUUUGUGCUGAAUGACAUGGGCCACAUUGAUCCCAUGUAUCAGUUCUCCUUGGAUGCGUAUAUUGAUCUCUUCAUUCUUUCAAUUGACAAAAGUCCAAAAAGUUCAGAUUUGGAGGAGCGUAUUGCUCAGUUGAAUGAAUAUCACACCUAUGCUGUCUACAGAUACACAUGCAGAGCGCUUUUUGAAAAACACAAACUCCUAUUCUCAUUCCACAUGUGUGCUAAAGUCCUAGAGUCUGGUGGCAAGCUCUGUAUGGAUGAGUACACCUUCUUUCUUCGUGGAGGCGUGGUUCUUGAUCGAGACAAUCAGAUGGAUAAUCCUUGCUCAUGGCUGUCAGAUCUGGCUUGGGACAACAUCACUGAACUGGAUAAACUGACCAACUUCCAUGACAUCAUUACUUCCUUUGAGCAGUAUGGCAGGGAAUGGUAUGAGUGGUUUACAUCUGACAAUCCCGAGACUGCUUUCCUUCCUGGUGAAUGGGAGAAUAGCUGUAAUGAACUACAGCGCAUGCUUUUGGUACGGUCUCUGAGACCUGACCGAGUGUCCUUCUGUGUCACAUCCUUUAUUGUGAACAACAUGGGCGUCAAGUUCACAGAGCCACCAGUUCUCAACAUGCAGCAGGUGCUGGAGGACUCCACUUGUAAAACGCCUCUCAUCUUUGUUCUCUCUCCUGGCGUUGAUCCGACUGCAGGUCUUAUGCAGCUUUCACAAGCAAAGGGAUUUGGUGAGCGCUUUUCUGCUCUAUCCCUUGGACAAGGUCAGACUCCUGUUGCCACACGCCUCCUGAGAGACGGUGUUAGAGAUGGCAAGUGGGUGUUUUUGGCCAACUGCCACCUGUCUUUGAGCUGGAUGCCAGCCUUAGACAAACUGGUGGGUCAGCUGCAAGUGCAGGCUCCACACCCUGAUUUUCGGUUGUGGCUCAGCUCUUCCCCCAGUCCAGACUUUCCUAUCUCCAUCCUCCAGCAGGCCAUCAAAAUGACCACUGAACCACCCAAGGGCUUGAGAGCAAACAUGAAGCGGCUGUACACCAAGAUAUCUGAGACUAAGUUUUUGCAAUGCAAAACUCGGGAAAAGUACAUUCGUCUUCUUUAUUGUCUUUGCUUCUUUCAUUCUGUCCUUCUUGAGAGGAAGAAGUUUCUCAUGCUUGGUUGGAACAUUGGCUAUGAAUUCAACGACUCUGAUUUUGAGGUGUCUGAAAAUCUACUUCAAAUUUAUCUGGAUGCCUAUGAAGAAACACCAUGGGAAUCAUUGAGAUACCUCAUUGCAGGCAUAAGCUAUGGUGGUCAUGUUACUGAUGACUGGGACAGACGGCUGCUUAUGACGUACAUGGGACAGUAUUUUUGUGAAAGGGUUUUGGAAGUAUCUUUAUAUCCAUUAUCCAUUCUACCCACUUACUUCGUUCCAAUUGAUGGGCCAUACAACAUUUACCUUGAUCAUAUCCACUUCCUGCCUGCAAUAGAUCACCCAGAGGCUUUUGGGCAGCAUCCUAAUGCUGACAUCACAUCUCAGAUCCAGGAAGCAAAGUGUCUUUUUGACACCCUUUUGUCCCUGGCCCCACAGCAGACAUCAGGAGGUGCUGGAGAAAGCCGUGCUGGAACUGGCAGCUAACAUCUUCAAACAGAUCCCAGAGAACAUAGACUUUGCUGCAACUGCCAAGCUUCUGUCCGUUGACCCCUGUCCACUAAACGUUGUGUUGCUCCAAGAGAUUCAGCGAUACAAUGCUUUGCUGGUUGAUAUCCGCAUAUCACUGAUAGAUCUGGAGAAGGGGAUCCAGGGGCUGGUAGUGAUGACGGCGGACUUGGAGAUUAUUUUCAACUGCCUUUUUGAUGGUCGUGUUCCACCAUCA
rnacentral:misc_RNA from 1 species